GCAGGAGGGCUGAAUGGAGGGAGUCAUUAACAGGGAUGCUGAUGGGGCUCUCAGCAGUUGGUUCCACAGGAGGGCACAGAUGAUGAGCAAUAAAAGAAAGCGUAAUUCAGUUUGCACAACAGCUGAAAUAAAACUUUUAUACUUAUUUCUUAUUGCUUUCUUCACUAUGACUAAGACUUUUUUCCUCCUACCUUAGCUUGAGAAGGAUAGCAAUAAAAGGGGAGGUAUCCUAGGAAAUUUAGAGCUCUUAAAGUCAAAGCACUGAUAUGUGAUGGAGAAAUGCACAGUCAGUGACCUUGUAUUCUGUUAAGAAUGAUCAGAUAGCAGCUAUUGAACUGCAUUGAAUUUCUGUAAGUACUAGUGCUAAUUUUUGCAAAAAGACUGUAUCAGGACUCAGAUGGCAUUAAUAGUCCUAAUGACCCUGACCAGCUUCACCUGGGUGCUAUGGGUGUGCCCACACCCAGACCUUUCUACAGUCCUGCCUCCUGGAUGGACCUGUGCUGUAUCCUUGUCUCUUGCUGCUUAUGGCUGGACUGGCUGGACUUCCUGAACCUGGUUUAUUCUCUGGCUGUGCCUGGAGAUGUUGACAGACCGUGACACGAGCCUAGCCUCUGCUUCCUGUGUGCAACCCCAUCAAGAUAGUGCCCGUAAGUGAAGACUUGGUCUGUGCUGGAAUCAUUCCACAUCUUGGUUUGCAUGUUUGGGAGCAAGUGAACCUUCAGUGUCCCUGACAGGAUGGUUCUCUUGGGUAAUCACUGUGGAGUAUGAAGCCAGUUCCUGAAAAGAGGACUGGUUUUCAGCUGGGUAGGCUUCUGUCACUGUUGAAGCAAGAAGAUGAAGCAGCGUCCUGUGAAACAGCAGAGUGCCCUGAGGAAGGAAGCUGAAACAUGAAUAGGGCUGUCAUCCCAUACAAGUUGCCUCUUGGCAAGGCUGUGAAGAUGAUGAAUGAUUCAGUGAGACUAGUUGAAUUUAUCCAAGGGAUUUACAAGCUGGUACAUUUUGCUGGACAAGGUAAGAUGUUGGAUGCAUUUUGUUGCAGAUAGAAUCGUUCUUUCUCUCCUGUUUCAAAAUUCCUCAUAGACAGAUCAGCUGGUCAAGCUUCCAUGUCUCAUCUUGACUUUGAAGACAGUCACCAUCUUUGACUGCUGAAUUUCUGAGGUUUCCAGAAUUUCAGUUUCAACAUAGAUGUCUCCUUAAAUCUAAAAACAUGGCAAUUUUUUAUUAUUUUUAUAUAUUUUUUAUUUUUUUAUUUUUAUUUUUUUUUUGCUUGGUGAAAUGGAAGAUAGAUUAUUUGCUUUAUGAAAAAAGGUCAAAACCUGAACUGUUUUAAGAGGUAUUCAAUUCAGCAGUUACUGUGACUAACACCAGCUUGAGGAACAGUGCUAAAUUAUUUUGGGGAACCAGAAAUUCAUGUGAAUAGACAUAAUAUUUUUAGGUUUUUGGUUCUAAAUUACCACUCAGGUGGGAAGAAACUGGGAAGCUAUCUGAUGAUUAAUAUGAAAGUACUUUCUGGUUGUCAUCUUACUCUCAGUAAAAAAUAAUAUAUCGCCAAAAAGAAAACUGCAAACCAACAAGCCCUGCAUCACAAUUGGUAGUGACUGCCACACAAGGAGAUGGUGUAUAGAAGAUGAAGAAAAAAAAAGCAACAACAAAUGAGAUGGUUUCACUUCUUCCUUAGGGAGAACAACAAGAAUUUACAGACAUAGAAGAAGCACCACUCCUAGUACCACAGAUGCUCUAACAAGGACUCAGGUGUAUCACUUGCUUCAUGUUUUUGAACAGAUUGCUAACUGUAUUCUAAACCUGAACCACCUACUGAAGACCUGCAGGAAAAAAAAAAAAAAAAAAAAAGUGGAAGAAUUGUGGAUAUCCUAAUUUGAGAGGAGGUUAUAGCACAAUAUUAUUAAGAUCAAACUGCCUCUUGCCUCAAAUCAAGAAGAAAACCACUCUUCUUUGACUAAAGCCAGCUCCAGCUCUGAAGAAAAGCAGCAUGGCUUGCCUGACACUCUUGGUACAGAAGCUUCUCCAGCAGAGGUUCCUGCCAAUGAGAGACGAGAUCAGCUCACAUCAGAGGGAGGUCACUGGAUUCCUUGAAAAGAAGAGGUGGCUGUGCGUGUCUUCCUGUCCCUAUGCUUUCCUAAGCUACAGGGUAGCACUGAUCUUCCUCAGCAAGUUCAGUGCCUUGAAGCAACAGGAUCCCUGCCAGCCCACCAGGAUAGUGACAUCUGUGCUCCUGCAUACCAGUGUUUGGGAAGUAGGCAUGAUACCUGACAUCCAGCACAGUCAGGAACGAGCCAAAUCAAGAUGGGAAGGAGAGAAACUCUGGAUCUAUAGAGUAAGUAGCCUUAGUUGUUCCAUGUAUGCCUGGCUAAUCUGUCAGUAUUAAGGAAGACACUUGAAUGUUGAAGGAAAACAGAAAGCAAAGAAAAAAUCCCAGUGUCCAAGCGCAUUCUCUUGUAUGCUAUAUGAACAUAUAGUGGGAUUGCCUGGGAUUGGCCUCCCUGGAGGUAUUCAAGGCCAGAUUGGAUAUGGCCUGCCCACAGCAGGGAGUUGGGUCUCAAUAAUCUUUAAGGUCUCUUCCAACCUAGACUAUUCUAUGAUUCUAUGGUUCCAUGUAAAUCAUAGUAUUUUGUAGAAGUUUGUUUUUUCACCAUUUAUGGGGAAAAUUCAAGGUACUGUUCUCAUAAUGAUGAAAUAUUUCACAAUUAUGAGUUGCUUAAGGUAUUGUAAAUGAAUGCUAUGAGCUAUGUGUGUGUGAUAUUUGACAUAUUAAGGAUGCACUAUUGCAACACAGAAUGUCAUAUAAAACCAAAGGGAAGUAAUUCAGAGCAAAAUAUUUUAAAUGAUCUUGUACUGAUUUUUUGUGUAUUUUUUUUUCUCUCUCUCUUUUUUUUUUUUUAAGGAUUUACAGUUGCAGGAAAUGAUUUUUCCAGGAGUAGCUCUUAUUCUAACUAGGAAUUAGAAUUAUUGAAAUGUUGAAUGGCCUGCUAACAAAAAUUUCAGUUCCCAGCUGACUCUGUCCACUAGUUUAUCAACAUAUUUUUGGACUCCACUGAAACAAUCCACGGCAAAGACAACAGAUAGCCCUAGGAAUUUGUGCAGGCUAUUGAGUCUUUCCAUUGUGGGCUGCUGGUUCAAAUCCUAGUGGACCUGUAGGGGAACAAGGAAAAGCUGAUACCAUGACUUUAGCUGUGUGGUAUGAGUUUUCCUCCCUGGGUAUAGGUGACAGCAACAGAAUUAGCAUUAAUUAGUCCACUUUGAAAUUUCAGCCAAGGUUUGACAUGGCAAAGUGGGGAAGCCUACUGCGCUGCAGACUGAGCUGUGCUUGCUCUGUGGAUGAAAAUAUAGCUUCCCUUUUCCAGGUCCAGUCCAGGCACUUUUCAUUAAUACUGUCACUGUGAAGCCAUAGGGAAAGCUAAGAGAGCUGCUUAAUAACUAGCAAGAACAAUAGAAGAGUAUCAUCAGACUAGGUAAUUGGUUAGAGAUAGUACCCUGGGAAGACAAGGACUAAAAGCAGUGAACUGCAGCCAGCCACACAAUCCAAGGUAACAGGCAGUGAGCUCUGGAUUAGCAACCAAGGCAACUUUAAUAAUUUAACUGUAGCAUUCACAGUAAUUUAACUAUGCUAUCCAGAACACAAAGCUAAUGGUGAUAUAGUGAAUGCAGGUAAUAUUCAGAAAGUUUGUUAAAUGCCAGUACAUAAAAGAGUCUCCGUGGAGAAGGCCAAUAUUCAGAUUUGUUGCUCUUGUUUUCUUUCUCCUUUUUCUCAGAUAGCAAGCAUUUAGUUUGUGAUAGUUAUUUGCUAGCUAGUAAGGGAAGAUGGGCUGUUUCAGAAGUUCCUAUUGACAGCCAGCUUACAGAGUGUAACAGGCUAACACAUUUUGCUGUCUUUGAAAACUGAAUAACAAAUGUUUUUGCUAUUUACAAGCCAGAAAUGAAUCGAUGGAUCUGAGUUAGAGAGCACACUCCCAAAACAUGCCAACACAUUUCUGCAUGCACUGCUUGCAAACUCUGCCUUCAUCCAAAUUAACAUCCUAAUUUGUGAAGGCUGCAAAAAAAAAAGUAUAAUUCAGAAUACAGAAUUGUUGUAGCUCAAAACAGACUCUCAAAAUUUAUUUUAUAGCUUGCCCACACACAGAGUUCUAGCACUCCACUGCUGAGAAUAAAAUGGUAGAACCUCUCUCUAAGGAUUACACCCACCACUUUAUUGCUGAAGAUGCUAGCCUGAAUAAAAUCCAUGAUCGUGCUCUGUUGCAUUCUCUCACUCUGGGAAGUCAAAUUCUUUUCCAGAAGUGACAGUAUAAAAUGUCUGCUUCUUUUACAACAAUGGUGCUUUGUGUACGUAUUCAUAGGCAGACCUUUUGCUUUAAUGACAAAAAAUGGAUUUUUACAAUCCUUGACUCCCACUAGCAUUGAGGAGUCCAUAAAGUUCGGAAAAAAUGAAUUAGAUUCGAUUGUGACUCACAUGUCCUGAUUGAACCACCGCUGCAAACUCCUACUGCAGCAACAAAUCCUGCUAAUUGUGUUGGGCAAACUAACUACACAGCCUGAGCUGAAGGGAAAAUUUAAACUCCCAAAUAAUACACAUAUUUUUGAAUACAUACUGAGUGCUGCUUUCAAGUUCACAUUGUAGUGGCCUACUGAAUCAGUUCUAGCACAGAUUUGGAGGCCUGUGAAUUCCCUCUGAGCUGGAAACUAUACAGAUCGCAUGUGUUCAUCAGCUGCUGGGGUUAUUUUUCUAAGCACUCUUCAAUGUGAGUGGUAGUGAAAGAUUGUAAAAAUCCAUUUAGUACUUGACUAACUGUAGUUCUAAGCACACACUGAAGAAUAUAAUUUCCAUUGCCACUGAAAGCAUGUGUUUGGAAGAACUGUAUCUAUGAAGCCCACCUGAAUCAUUAAGGUAGUGGUGGGACGGUGAGUGGGGGUGGGAGAGGUAUGCUCAGUUUAUAUGAAAAGAACCAUGUCAGGACAGAUUUUUGCCUAUGAGAAAUGUGUGAGGAAGGAUGUAAAGGGAAAAAAAAAAACAUCUCCAUGACAGUCCUCCCUUCCAGGGACUUUGUCUCUUGGAAGAACCUACUGGAGACAAAGGCAUACUGUGCCUUUGCACAGCUUGGGGGCCUUCACAGCUUUCAUCAUUCUUGCAGCCAUCAACCUGCCUGUAAAGGCUAAUGUUUUGCACUGCACUUGUGUAUUAGCUCUCUGACUGCAAGCCGUCACUUCAAGGAGCUUACACCUCACACCAUGCUUCACGAGCACACCACAGCUGAGUUUCAGUGCUGGAUCUUACUAUUUUAAUUAGAUUGCUAAGUACACUGUGGAUGUUGCUGCUAAACUUAUGUUGACCACAGCAUACACAAAGGUAACCCCGAGCAUCCAGGAUCUAAGAGACAAAAAAAAAUAGUCAGCCCUGUAGUGGGGUUAAAAGGAAGCUAGAUUUGUCUUUGUUCCACAAAGUGUAGCAUAAACUGCAUAAUUAGUCAUUUUGGCCUGAAGCUUUAUCUACAUGACAAUGUAGCACUACUAUUAGUAAUAGCAAUCCAAAGCAUCUUUUCUGAGUUGACAAAAAUUUUAGGUAUGCUAUUUAUAGCAACCAUUGCACACACUGACAUGAGAAAUAAUUGUUACUACAACAUCCCGUUAGUGUUAUUUUUGUAUUCUGUUCCAAUUUGUAUAUAAAUGAAACCUAUGAACAUUUCCUGCACUGACCUCAUGUCUUUGUGUAGAUGGGCUUUAGACCAGAUCCAAGGAAGUGCUAAAUAAUCAUAUAAGCAGCAAGAACAAAUUCAUGGUUGAGCACCAUUAUUCAUCAUGGUGUAAUAUGUGAUCACUGAGCAGGCAGUGGUGAAGAGGAGGCUCAGGGAAGACCUUAGCACUCUGUACAACUCCAUGAAAGGAGGCUGUGGUGAGGUGGGGGUCAGCCUCUUCUCCUGUGUAAGUAGCGAUAGGACUAGAGAGAAUGGUCUCAAGUGCACCCGGGGAGAUUCAGCUUGGUUAUUAGGAAAAAUUUCUUCUCAAAAUGAGUGGUCAGACACUGGAACAGAGUACCCAGGGAGGUGGAGUCACAGUCCAUGGAGGUGCUCAGAAACAUUUAGCUGUGGUACUUAAGGACAUGGUUUAGUGAGAACUAUUGCUGACUAUUGCAGGUAGACGGCUGGACUAUAUCAUCCUGGAGGCCUUUUCCAACCUCAGUGAUUCUAUGAUUCUAUGAACUUUUCCAUGGAUGUGCUUGGAUGAUUUUUCCUUCUCAUUCCUCUUUGUCUCAUCCUCUCUUCUCAUUACUUAUCUUUAAGGAACAGAAACCAGUCUUGACUUGCUACUGAGAAAACUAGGUACAACGAGAUGCCUUCUACUUUUCCCUCUGAGAACCUAUUCUCAAAGCUAAAGAAAUUGGCUCUAAAUUGCCAUAACAGAGUAUCUCGAGCCACAAGCUCUAUUCAGCCUCAGUAGGCAGUGAUAGGCAAAAAGUCAUUCAAUAGAAGAAGUCACUGAGGAAAUCUGCAGAAGUGAUGUUGGCAGGUGGCUAGGAAGCUCUAAUCUCUUUGCAUCACAGUAGAACCAUGUGCUAAAAGGCUAAGUCUUCAGAUUAUGAAGAAAAUUAUGAUUCUUGCCAAGAUCCCUUGAUUGUUUCAGACAAAUUGGAUUAGUUAAAAGGACUUUUGUUCUUACAGAUCAUAUUUAAUUUUGAAGAUUUUUGACUGAAAAUAUGAACCACCUUUUGUCAGUUUGAUGCAUGCAGUUUUGUUUUGCACAUCCUUUCCUGAUGAACUGAGUGCCAUUGCUUUGGAAUGUCAAAACUUCUUUGGAUUUUGAACAUAUUAGAGUUUAUCUAGCUUCAGGAUGAAUCUCAGUGAUAGAAACAACGGUGCCUGUGAUGACCACAUUGUGAUGAAUUUAAAAUAUAUUCACUGGUUUUGCUAGACCUUCAAGAGCUUUAUAAAGUUUACAAAAUAAUUCAGGAUCCUUAAAAGAAAGAAACCUACUACAAAACAGAAGUGUUACUAACAGAGAACAUUUUAGGAUGCCAGAGAAGAAACAGCCACAUUCAGACUGCUUAUAAUAGUGCGCAAGUGAAUUUAGGGUUCAACAGUGAGCAAAUUAAAAUGCCUGUUAGUCAGAUGUAAUAGCUGGUGCUGACUGCACCAGGAGUCAUUUUCCUGUUUGUUUAAUGGGCAGGGGGAGGACCUAUACCUAGUUUCACCAGAAGGAUCCAGCAUUACUAUCAUGGCAACUUCUGUCAUUUACCUGUCCAUGAAAUAUGUAGUGAUAUCUCCAUUAAGUGUAAGUAGUUAAGAUGCUUCCUCUGACACUGUUAUAACUCAAUAACAUAGACUGGGGAUAAGAAAAAAGACAAAAAAAAGAAAGGGAGGAAAAAAAAAAAAAAAAGAGAAAAAGAGUUUUUCCUAAUUGAAGAAAAAGCAGUUUUCCAAAAUUUGAAACAUCCCUUUUAGAGAGGGUACUCCUAUGGGUCUACUUUUUUUUUUUUCUUCACUUUUAAUAACUAAUCUCUCAACCACUCCACAUGACAGGACAUCACUCUUUCCAACCCAGAGAGGAAAGACUGAGGCCCCUCUUUGACUAUCCUGGUGCUUUUCUGACAGCUGAAUGUACUGCUAACUUGAUUUUUUUUUUUUUCCCCCUUGGACCUCUUCUGCUCUGAAGCCGAUCAGUAACAUGGCAGGGACACUGCUUUUCUGUGGUAAUUGAGGUAUUGCUUGUAACAGGUGAGGAUGAGCUGGUGGACAUGCAGCCAACAGCAAGCUGUGUGUAGUAGUAAUUUCACUGGCUUUCGAGACCCUUCUAUCAGAGAACCUCAAUCACUGGGACAUACAAAAGAGGGGACAUGAAACUGAUCUCCCGAAAGGAAGUAAGGAAGAAGACUUCUGAGCUGGCGCUGAAUCACAGAGAAAUCAAAGUGAGUGCCUAAGUCUCCCAUCAGUGUUUUUUCCUUUUAGUUGUUGGAGCACAAUAAGAAAGCAGUCCUCCUGAGGGCCUCUAGGGGCUACCGCAGUUCAAUAAAUAACAAUAAAUAUAAUGCAAAAUUGGUUUUGAGUCUGAUAAGGGCUGUGUUAAUUUCUGGUGUAAUAUCUUUGACUUCAGAGGAGUUACAUGGAAUGGGAUUUGGCCCACUGAGUCUUUGCUGUCUGAUCUCACAUUACCAUGGAGGAUAAUGGAUGGCAGUGAUUCCUGAGUAUUCUCACACAGUGUCUUGUCUUGUUUUCCUGGGGGAGGAAUUAGUCUUUCAGUGGUCUUUCUUGAUUUGUUUCCAGCUUUCUGCUAAUAUUAUCAAAGUAGCAUCAUUCACUCAGCAGAGAACACACAUAUUUUGUGUAAAUAAGUUAUUUCACUCUUCGCUAAUGCCUUUAUGAAAUCUGCUUUUAUUCAUGUGAAUAAGAAUCAAUGUUUUACUAAUUUGCUGUUUAAAUAUAUCACAUACCCUUGAGAAUUCUCUCCUACCACAUGCGGCUUGGUUGUGAAGCAUUGUAUGCAACAUAUAAGGCACAGAGAAUGCACAUAUAUAACAGAAUGGGCAAGCUCAAGCCCUCUGAGCACAGUAUAUAUAAGAAACUCAGAAUAGGAGAAAAUCUCUACAGGAUAUCAAAGCAAAUUUCAAUCUGAGAAUGUUUCACUGUGUCAAUAGAUGUAGCACAAGGGCUGCCUGUUGUUUCACAAACAAUGAAUCUUCUCCAGCCUAUAAAUAAUGUAAAGACAAGUCUCAGGAUUUUUAAAAAUUUCUGCUAGCUUGAGGCUACCUACCCUGCAUGCCUCUUUGUUUACAACUUCCAGUACAAACGUAUAUCAUGUUUGUUUUCAGACAAAGCAUCAGCUUUCCUGACUUGUGGAAUUAACCUCUAAUUCUUAUUAGCAGCAGCCUUUUAUGCAGUUUUUGCAUACAUGGGCUUUCAGCAACAUGACCACGCAGAGCUGUGAUCUGACACAGCCAAGAGGUGAGCUCCUUGGCGUCAGGUGUGUGGUGCUAACGACAUGUCACGAGCAGCUGCCUGGCACUUGGCAAGCAUCUGCUUCCCAGGUAGCAGGGCUGUUGUCAUUGUUGGCCUGUGAGAGCCUGAACUCCCAGCAUCUCCAAGAGUGCAGUAGUGAACUGGGGGAUAAAGGAUUGGAUGUUCCAAGAAAUGAACAUGAAGUGCUGACUCCUUGAAUUCAUCACAUCUUCCAUGAAGAACAACAUUCUCCUCUCAUGCAGCUCAUUUGAUGGCAAAACUCCUAUUGACUUCAGUGGCACAGGAUCAAGCUUGAUGUGCCCAGUGGACUGCGGAAGCCUUGGACAAGCAUGCACAGCAGAAGUGAGCCAAUUGUAACAUUAGCUAUGGAAAUAAAAGCCUUCCAACAAGACAGCUAGAGCUAAAUUGGGGACAAUUAAAGGAAGUACUUGAGCUCUUCUUCCUACCUGCAAUACAGCAAAAGGCCAGGCUCUGAACAAAUUUUGUGGCCAAAGCCAGGUAAGGCAAGAACACACUUCAGAGAGAAAGAUAGAUGCACAAGGAAUUUCUCCUUUUCUACCCUCUCGAGGCAUCUUCCUGUGUAGAAAGGGCACAGAGUUGAAUUCAGUGAGACAGCAUCUAUGCUGGCUGGCUUACUGAACAUUUUCUUUGCAUGUUAUUUAACAACAAACACACUGUGUGACCUGAAGUCACACAGUUGGGAAUUGGACUAAGACAUGCUGUUUAUGUUUCUGUCCUUUUUUUUUCCCCACACACAGGAAAGGACAAAUACUUUCAAUUGUCACAAUAAUGUUCAGAACAUAAGUUGAAACAUCAAACUCAUGAUAUCAAAGGAAACCACACCACCAGAUUUUUGCUAUCCAUUCCCAAAUUGUAUCAGUAGUAAUAUAUAAGACAGAGAUAAUAACAUAAGUAUGCAUAAGCUGAAUAAGGUCAGAGAAAAACACAUAAAAUGUUUACACAUCACAGGAGGGGGCAAGGGCAUGGCACAGGAAACAGAAAACUGGCUGUGAGUCCAGAUAUUAGAGAAAUAAUCAAAUAACACAAUGGGACAGCUGGUGGGAUUGGGGCAUGCAAAGCAGAAAGUGUGCGCUGUUCAGAGAAGCUAUGAAUAAAUGCAGGGACAGUGUGAUAUAAUAACGAUAUGGCAAUUUAAUGAUAACAUGAAUUCAGAACAAGUUUAUCUUACCAGUCACUGCUGAAAAAGAUGAAAAAGAAUCUUCACUAAAGUGGUUGUAGGGAGACCUUUUUUUCCAGUACCAGCUGCAUUCAUUUGUACUGUCACUUUUUUAUUUUUAUUUAUUUAUUUAAGUAAAAAAUCCCUGGUAAACACUAGGAAAAAUAAUUUUUAAGCAUCUACACUAUGGAAACGUGAGUAUUAGCAGAUGUAUAGUUGAAAGUAGGCUUCAGUGAGUUUCCAUAAAGAAAGAAAUCCAGUCCAUUAUUUCCUGUCCACAGAUUUCCUUGAACAGUCUAUAAAGUUGCUUACAAAAUUCUUCUUUUUAGCUUAGUCUGAGAAUAAUUUCUAAAACCAAUUUUGCUACUGCAAGUUCUUUGUGAGCAGCUUAUUGGAGGUUUACAACAACAAAUAUAAAAACCAGUGUUUUGAUUUGUUAGUCACAUGGUAUUUCUUGCCUCAACUGGAUAAUUUUAUCUCUGAAAAUAAGGUGUUUGGUGUAAAUUUCAGGGAUUCUAGGUUUGCUAUCAGUAUAUGCUUACAAAAUUGGCUGUUUUGAAGCCAUUUCUUGCGAGGAAAUCCUUCUAUCAGACUAUUCUUAGGAAGCAAAUGUAAAAUGGACACAAAGCAUAUUUAUUUAAAAACCUACAGAAAUGUUUACUAGUUCUUUUCAGAGAACUGCAAUAGUUUGUGAACCUCUUCAGCUAAUUAGAGCAGUAUCAUUAUUCUAGUUGUUGAAUUGUUGGGUUUUUUCUUUUCUUUCUUUCUUUCUUUUUUUUUUUUUUUUUUUUUGAGAAUCACAUUUGUAGUCUAAUUAUCAUUGUAAAUCACUGUAGCACUUCCUUAUUUAUUUAUUUAUUUAUUUAUUUAAUUUAUCUCUGUGCAUAGAAAGCAAUAGAGGGCAGUUUCCAGUUAGUCCCCUUUCUUCCACACCGAGCAGAGAUUAACUGAAGAUUUCAGUAUCCAACCCUACGUGCUCCCCUACCCUGUCUCCCUCCACCAGAGGAGGGUGAAUACCCCCCGUAUGACAGCAUUGACUGAGGAGGGACAGAGGAUCCCAUACCAGUGCAAACCUCUGACAACUGGAGGUAGAGCAGAGCAGGAAACAGGAAAGGGAAACGUGUGCCCUGCCUGGCCUGUUUUCUGUAACCAAAAAGAAAGGUACACACAUAUUCUGUCGUCCUGUCCUUCCUGCCCUUCUGCCUUUGAGAGUAGGCAGUGCAUAUUCAUCUGUAGCAAAGGCUGUAAUGGGAAUUAAGGCUUAGGAGAGCCUAUAUGCAGUAGUGAGUUCACAAAGUCAGAGACUGCCUUCUGUUUGUCUCUGUGCAGUAAGACAGAAUUUGAAUGCUCGCUUAGAUUCCUACUUCCAGCCUCCUCCAAGUCAGUUUGGAG
ensembl:lncRNA